ACGUAAUCAAUGCGAGCUGAUGACUCGCGUUUACUAGGAAUUCCUCGUUGAAGAUCAAUAAUUGCAAUGAUCUAUCCCCAGCACGACGGAGGUUCAAAAGAUUACCCAGACUUCUCAGUCAAGGUUGUAAGCUCGAUGAAUCCAUCAGUGUAGCGCGCGUGCGGCCCAAAACAUCUAAGGGCAUCACAGACCUGUUAUUGCCUCGAACUUCC
rnacentral:rRNA from 1 species